rnacentral:rRNA from 1 species
GACGAACGCUGGCGGCGUGCCUAAUACAUGCAAGUUGAGCGCUGAAGGUUGGUACUUGUACCAACUGGAUGAGCAGCGAACGGGUGAGUAACGCGUGGGGAAUCUGCCUUUGAGCGGGGGACAACAUUUGGAAACGAAUGCUAAUACCGCAUAAAAACUUUAAACACAAGUUUUAAGUUUGAAAGAUGCAAUUGCAUCACUCAAAGAUGAUCCCGCGUUGUAUUAGCUAGUUGGUGAGGUAAAGGCUCACCAAGGCGAUGAUACAUAGCCGACCUGAGAGGGUGAUCGGCCACAUUGGGACUGAGACACGGCCCAAACGCCUACGGGAGGCAGCAGUAGGGAAUCUUCGGCAAUGGGCGAAAGUCUGACCGAGCAACGCCGCGUGAGUGAAGAAGGGUUUCGGAUCGUAAAACUCGGUUGGUAGAGAAGAACGUUGGUGAGAGUGGAAAGCUCAUCAAGUGACGGUAACUACCCAGAAAGGGACGGCUAACUACGUG